rnacentral:rRNA from 1 species
GAUGAACGCUGGCGGCGUGCCUAAUACAUGCAAGUCGAGCGAACGGACGAGAAGCUUGCUUCUCUGAUGUUAGCGGCGGACGGGUGAGUAACACGUGGAUAACCUACCUAUAAGACUGGGAUAACUUCGGGAAACCGGAGCUAAUACCGGAUAAUAUUUUGAACCGCAUGGUUCAAAAGUGAAAGACGGUCUUGCUGUCACUUAUAGAUGGAUCCGCGCUGCAUUAGCUAGUUGGUAAGGUAACGGCUUACCAAGGCAACGAUGCAUAGCCGACCUGAGAGGGUGAUCGGCCACACUGGAACUGAGACACGGUCCAGACUCCUACGGGAGGCAGCAGUAGGGAAUCUUCCGCAAUGGGCGAAAGCCUGACGGAGCAACGCCGCGUGAGUGAUGAAGGUCUUCGGAUCGUAAAACUCUGUUAUUAGGGAAGAACAUAUGUGUAAGUAACUGUGCACAUCUUGACGGUACCUAAUCAGAAAGCCACGGCUAACUACGUGCCAGCAGCCGCGGUAAUACGUAGGUGGCAAGCGUUAUCCGGAAUUAUUGGGCGUAAAGCGCGCGUAGGCGGUUUUUUAAGUCUGAUGUGAAAGCCCACGGCUCAACCGUGGAGGGUCAUUGGAAACUGGAAAACUUGAGUGCAGAAGAGGAAAGUGGAAUUCCAUGUGUAGCGGUGAAAUGCGCAGAGAUAUGGAGGAACACCAGUGGCGAAGGCGACUUUCUGGUCUGUAACUGACGCUGAUGUGCGAAAGCGUGGGGAUCAAACAGGAUUAGAUACCCUGGUAGUCCACGCCGUAAACGAUGAGUGCUAAGUGUUAGGGGGUUUCCGCCCCUUAGUGCUGCAGCUAACGCAUUAAGCACUCCGCCUGGGGAGUACGACCGCAAGGUUGAAACUCAAAGGAAUUGACGGGGACCCGCACAAGCGGUGGAGCAUGUGGUUUAAUUCGAAGCAACGCGAAGAACCUUACCAAAUCUUGACAUCCUUUGACAACUCUAGAGAUAGAGCCUUCCCCUUCGGGGGGCAAAGUGACAGGUGGUGCAUGGUUGUCGUCAGCUCGUGUCGUGAGAUGUUGGGUUAAGUCCCGCAACGAGCGCAACCCUUAAGCUUAGUUGCCAUCAUUAAGUUGGGCACUCUAAGUUGACUGCCGGUGACAAACCGGAGGAAGGUGGGGAUGACGUCAAAUCAUCAUGCCCCUUAUGAUUUGGGCUACACACGUGCUACAAUGGACAAUACAAAGGGCAGCGAAACCGCGAGGUCAAGCAAAUCCCAUAAAGUUGUUCUCAGUUCGGAUUGUAGUUUGCAACUCGACUACAUGAAGCUGGAAUCGCUAGUAAUCGUAGAUCAGCAUGCUACGGUGAAUACGUUCCCGGGUCU